rnacentral:lncRNA from 1 species
AUUGCACUUGGGAGAGCCAAGGGCCAGAGUGGCUGCAGGUUUAAGUGGAAGAAAAGGACACAAGGCCUGAACAUUCAAGCUUUGUCAGUUCCUCCCAGAUGCACCCCAUCACUCCACGGCUGAGGAUAUGGAAAAGACAGAGUGGGGUGCCGUGAGGGGUACAGACUAGACAUCUGUGAUCCCGUCUGCGCCCUUGCAGAUUCGCAGCACCAUCACCUCAGUCCCUUGGAAUGACUCAGAGAGGGCUUGCACCCCAGGCCAUCUGUCCAGCCUUCAAGCUUUUGCCCUCACCAGUGCCACUGGUGGUGCCUACCUGUCCUUCAUUUCCCAGCUCAGUCCUGCCUCUACAGUGCCGACCCCUGAAGAUGUCCACAGCACCACCUGCCUGACACCUGCCUGACUCAGCCUUGUCUCCUUGGUCUUCUUCUCUGGACUCUGUGGUUUCUGAUUCCUUCCCCUGCUGGUCCACUGCUCCUUUGCUCUGGGGAGGUCUUCACCUUCGACACAGCAAGACUCAUUUUUGAGUCUCAGUUGCUUCUGCCGAAGAGCUCAGUCCUGUCUUCCCAGAGUAACUAUGAGCUUCUGGGGAUAGAAAGCACAUCUUGGAGCUCCCUGGCUCUUCCACUGUGCCUGGUAAGGU